rnacentral:rRNA from 1 species
CCUACGGGUGGCAGCAGUGAGGAAUAUUGGUCAAUGGACGAGAGUCUGAACCAGCGAAGUAGCGUGAAGGAUGACUGCCCUCUGGGUUGUAAACUUCUUUUAUAUGGGAAUAAAAUGUUCCACGUGUGGGAUUUUGUAUGUACCAUAUGAAUAAGGAUCGGCUAACUCCGGGCCAGCAGCCGCGGUACUGCGGUGGAUCCGAACGUUAUCCGGGUUUGUUUGGUUUAAAGGGAGCGUAGGUGGAUUUUUUAGUCAGUUGUGAAAUUUUGUGGCUCAAACGUAAGAUUGCAGUUGAUACUGGCAAACUAGAGUACAUUAGAGGUGAGCGGAAUUCGAGGUGUAGCGGUGAAAUGCUUAGAUAUAACGAAGAACUCCGAAUGCGAAGGCAGUUCACUGGACUGAAACUGACACUGAGGCACGAAAGUGUGGGGAUCAAACAGGAUUAGAGACCCUUGUAGUC